UAGGGAAUCUUCCACAAUGGGCGCAAGCCUGAUGGAGCAACACCGCGUGAGUGAAGAAGGGUUUCGGCUCGUAAAACUCUGUUGUUGAAGAAGAACGUGCGUGAGAGUAACUGUUCACGCAGUGACGGUAUUCAACCAGAAAGUCACGGCUAACUACGUGCCAGCAGCCGCGGUAAUACGUAGGUGGCAAGCGUUAUCCGGAUUUAUUGGGCGUAAAGCGAGCGCAGGCGGUUUUCUAAGUCUGAUGUGAAAGCCUUCGGCUUAACCGGAGAAGGGCAUCGGAAACUGGAUAACUUGAGUGCAAGAGAGGACAGUGGAACUCCAUGUGUAGCGGUGGAAUGCGUAGAUAUAUGGAAGAACACCAGUGGCGAAGGCGGCUGUCUAGCUUGCAACUGACGCUGAGGCUCGAAAGCAUGGGUAGCGAACAGG
rnacentral:rRNA from 2 species